rnacentral:rRNA from 1 species
CAGCCGCCGCGGUAAUACGAAGGGGGCUAGCGUUGCUCGGAAUGACUGGGCGUAAAGGGCGCGUAGGCGGUUUUGACAGUCAGAUGUGAAAUUCCUGGGCUUAACCUGGGGGCUGCAUUUGAGACGUCAAGACUAGAGUGUGAGAGAGGGUUGUGGAAUUCCCAGUGUAGAGGUGAAAUUCGUAGAUAUUCGGAAGAACACCAGUGGCGAAGGCGGCUUACUGGCUCAUACUGGACGCUGAGGUGCGAAAGCGUGGGGAGCAAACAGGAUUAGAUACCCCAGUAGUCCCUGUCUCUUAUAC